rnacentral:rRNA from 1 species
CAGUAGCCGCGGUAAUACGGAGGGUGCAAGCGUUAUUCGGAAUUACUGGGCGUAAAGCGUGCGUAGGCGGUUUGUUAAGUUUGCUGUGAAAUCCCCGGGCUCAACCUGGGAAUGGCAGUGGAUACUGGCAAGCUAGAGUGUGUCAGAGGAUGGUGGAAUUCCCGGUGUAGCGGUGAAAUGCGUAGAGAUCGGGAGGAACAUCAGUGGCGAAGGCGGCCAUCUGGGACAACACUGACGCUGAGGCACGAAAGCGUGGGGAGCAAACAGGAUUAGAUACCCCCGUAGUCCCUGUCUCUUAUAA